UGGGGAAUAUUGGACAAUGGGCGCAAGCCUGAUCCAGCCAUGCCGCGUGAGUGAUGAAGGCCCUAGGGUUGUAAAGCUCUUUCACCGGUGAAGAUAAUGACGGUAACCGGAGAAGAAGCCCCGGCUAACUUCGUGCCAGCAGCCGCGGUAAUACGAAGGGGGCUAGCGUUGUUCGGAUUUACAGGGCGUAAAGCGCACGUAGGCGGACUAUUAAGUCAGGGGUGAAAUCCCGGGGCUCAACCCCGGAACUGCCUUUGAUACUGGUAGUCUUGAGUUCGAGAGAGGUGAGUGGAAUUCCGAGUGUAGAGGUGAAAUUCGUAGAUAUUCGGAGGAACACCAGUGGCGAAGGCGGCUCACUGGCUCGAUACUGACGCUGAGGUGCGAAAGCGUGGGGAGCAAACAGG
rnacentral:rRNA from 1 species